rnacentral:rRNA from 1 species
UACGUAGGGUGCGAGCGUUGUCCGGAAUUAUUGGGCGUAAAGGGCUCGUAGGCGGUUUGUCGCGUCGGGAGUGAAAACCUCGGGCUUAACUCGGGGCUUGCUUUCGAUACGGGCAGACUGGAGGUAUGCAGGGGAGACUGGAAUUCCUGGUGUAGCGGUGGAAUGCGCAGAUAUCAGGAAGAACACCUAUGGCGAAGGCAGCACUCUGGGACGGUACUGACGCUGAGACGCGAAAGCGUGGGGAGCGAACAGG